rnacentral:lncRNA from 1 species
ACUUCCCAUCAGCCCUUGAGGCUGCAGGGACCAGCCCUUUGUGGAGAAGCCCAGGCGGCCUAGAAUCCAGUGUCGUCCGUGAGUGCUUGGCUGGUGUUCAAGUGCAUCUUCCAGCCUGAGACCGCGUGGACUCGCUCAUCGUGAGGGCGAGAGGAGGAUAAGCCCAUUGGGCUGUCGGCUGAGAGUGAGGUGCGGGAUUGCUGAUGAAAUCCUUGGCAUCGUCGGAGAUCUCAUCGAAUGCCUCGUCGUCGAAGUCCCAGGUGGCUGAGGUAACGUUGGCCAAGGUUUCGUUAUCGUUGUCUCCCAUGAAGGGGGAAAGGCCACUGACUCUGGAGAGACAAGAGCAGGACAGCAGGUGUGGCUAGGAGAGGGCGCGACGACCAGAUGAGGGAAUUGAGGCACAGCCCAGGCUCAAGUCACCUGCCCAAAGAUUCACAGCCAGUGAGAUUGGAAGCCAGGUAUCUGCCUCUAGAGCCUGUCCUCUUAAAUGCUAUACUAUCCUAACAUUUCUGUAAAGAUGAAGUAAAUUGCAGUGUUCAGCACUGGCACCAGGCCUGGUCCACAGUAAGGAGGCGGUCCAUGCCCGGAGAUCUCAUGCAGUUCUGCUGGGUUCCCUCCACUGCCUUACCAAGCUGUGAGUGCAGGAAUGACUUUGUGACCAGCAGCUUAAGCCAAAUAAACUUUAUAAGGUAAAGAAUUUCAAAACAAAA